rnacentral:rRNA from 1 species
CCAAUAGCGUAUAUUAAAGUUGUUGCAGUUAAAAAGCUCGUAGUUGAAUUUCGGGAUCAAUAUGUUGGUCGUGCCUUGGUACGUACUUGCAUUAUUGGUUUCUCCCUUCUGAAGAACCCUGAUCUCAUUAAUUUGGUGUCUUGGGGAAUCAGGACUGUUACUUUGAGAAAAUUAGAGUGUUUAAAGCAGGCUCGCGCUUGAAUACAUUAGCAUGGAAUAAUGAAAUAGGACGUUUGAUUCUAUUUUUUUGGUUUCUAGGAUCGACGUAAUGAUUAAUAGGGAUAGUUGGGGGCAUUAGUAUUCAAUUGUCAGAGGUGAAAUUCUUGGAUUUAUUGAAGACUAACUGCUGCGAAAGCAUUUGCCAAGGAUGUUUUCAUUAAUCAAGAACGAAAGUUAGGGGAUCGAAGACGAUCAGAUACCGUCGUAGUCUUAACCAUAAACUAUGCCGACUAGGGAUCGGAUGAUGUUAAUUUUUUAAUGACUCAUUCGGCGCCUUACG